AAUUAAGUGAAGCUGAAUCUGAGGUGCAAAGCCUUAGAACGGGGGAAACUUCUCGUGGGGUGAAUCGCAGUAUAUUGCGUAGGGCAUACACCUUUGCCCGAAUCCGUCAACUAACCUCGUAAGCAGAAAGGUGGUAAAAA
rnacentral:sRNA from 2 species